AGAGUUUGAUCCUGGCUCAGAGUGAACGCUGGCGGUAGGCCUAACACAUGCAAGUCGAACGGCAGCACAGGAGAGCUUGCUCUCUGGGUGGCGAGUGGCGGACGGGUGAGGAAUACAUCGAAAUCUACUCUGUCGUGGGGGAUAACGUAGGGAAACUUACGCUAAUACCGCAUACGACCUACGGGUGAAAGCAGGGGACCUUCGGGCCUUGCGCGAUUGAAUGAGCCGAUGUCGGAUUAGCUAGUUGGCGGGGUAAAGGCCCACCAUGGCGACGAUCCGUAGCUGGUCUGAGAGGAUGAUCAGCCACACUGGAACUGAGACACGGUCCAGACUCCUACGGGAGGCAGCAGUGGGGAAUAUUGGACAAUGGGCGCAAGCCUGAUCCAGCCAUACCGCGUGGGUGAAGAAGGCCUUCGGGUUGUAAAGCCCUUUUGUUGGGAAAGAAAUCCAGCUGGCUAAUACCCGGUAGGGAUGACGGUACCCAAAGAAUAAGCACCGGCUAACUUCGUGCCAGCAGCCGCGGUAAUACGAAGGGUGCAAGCGUUACUCGGAAUUACUGGGCGUAAAGCGUGCGUAGGUGGUCGUUUAAGUCCGUUGUGAAAGCCCUGUGCUCAACCUGGGAACUGCAGUGGAUACUGGGCGACUAGAGUGUGGCAGAGGGUAGCGGAAUUCCUGGUGUAGCAGUGAAAUGCGUAGAGACCAGGAGGAACAUCCAUGGCGAAGGCAGCUACCUGGACCAACACUGACACUGAGGCACGAAAGCGUGGGGGAGCAAACAGGAUUAGAUACCCUGGUAGUCCACGCCCUAAACGAUGCGAACUGGAUGUUGGGUGCAAUUUGGCACGCAGUAUCGAAGCUAACGCGUUAAGUUCGCCGCCUGGGGAGUACGGUCGCAAG
rnacentral:rRNA from 1 species